GCCGGGCGUGGUGGCGUGUGCCUGUAAUCCCAGCUACUCAGGAGGCUGAGGCAGGAGAAUCGCUUGAACCCAGGAGACAGAAGUGGCAGUGAGCCGAGAUCGCGCCAUUGCACUCCAGCCUGGGCGACAGAGUGAGACUCCGUCUCAA
rnacentral:SRP_RNA from 1 species